rnacentral:rRNA from 1 species
AUUGAACGCUGGCGGCAGGCUUAACACAUGCAAGUCGAGCGAGCGGCGGACGGGUGAGUAAUGUCUGGGAAACUGCCUGAUGGAGGGGGAUAACUACUGGAAACGGUAGCUAAUACCGCAUACCAUCAGAUGUGCCCAGUUGGGAUUGGCUGGUAGGUGGGGUAAUGGCUCACGUAGGCGACGUUCCCUAUCUGGGCUGAGAGGAUGACCAGCCACAUGGGAACUGAGACACGGUCCAGACUCCUACGGGAGGCAGCAGUGGGGUAUAUUGCACAAUGGGCGCAAGCCUGAUGCAGCCAUGCCGCGUGUGUGAAGGAGGCCUUCGGGUUGUAAAGCACUUUCAGCGAGGAGGCGUUACUCGCAGAAGAAGCACUGGCUAACUCCGUGCCAGCAGCCGCGGUAAUUC